UACGUAGGGACCAAGCGUUGUUCGGAUUUACUGGGCGUAAAGGGCGCGUAGGCGGCAAUUCAAGUCAGCUGUGAAAUCUCCGGGCUUAACUCGGAACGGUCAGCUGAUACUGCUUUGCUAGAGUGCGGAAGGGGCAAUCGGAAUUCUCGGUGUAGCGGUGAAAUGCGUAGAUAUCAGGAAGAACACCCGUGGCUAAGGCGGCUCUCUAGUACGGUACUGACGCUGAGACGCGAAAGCGUGGGGAGCGAACAGG
rnacentral:rRNA from 1 species